rnacentral:lncRNA from 1 species
GGGAUGGCCACAUGGUAAACCCAGGCAUCCCAGGACAUACCACCAGAACUCUACCUUCCAAUAAAAGAUGUGAGGACGCUUGACUGGGCUGUUAGAAAGGUGGCAUGCUGGAUUGUUACAUAAAUUUCCUUCACAAAGCAACUUGAGAGGACGUUGAAUAUCAGUUUCCAUCACAUGGUUCAGCAGGGAUGUUAGUUUGUCCAUGGGGUAGAACUAAGGUGACCUUCUGUCAAGGAACUCAGAUUGGAAAUGAAGAAUAAAACUGGCCGGGCAUGGCGGCCCACGCCUGUAAUCCCAGCACUUUGGGAGGCUGAGGCGUGUGGAUCACGAGGUCAGGAGAUCGAGAACAUCCUGGCUAACACGGUGAAACCCCAUCUCUACUAAGAAUACAAAAACUUAUCUAGGCGUGGUGGCGGGUGCCUGUAGUCCCAGCUACUCAGGAGGCUGAGGCAGGAGAAUGGCGUGAACCCAGGAGGUGGAGCUUGCAGUGAGCCAAGAUUGCACCACUGCACUCCAGCCUGGGCAACAGAGCAAGACUCUGUCUCAAAAUAAAUAAAUAAAUAAAUAAAUAAAUAAAUAAAUAAAUAAAUAAAUAAAUAGAAUAAAACCUGGUCUUUCACCACAUACUGUUAGAGAAGCCCUGAUAAAGGUGUUCCUGAGGCUCUUCUAGAUUGCCACCAUCAAAGGUGUCCCUGAUGAUGGGCAUAGCAGUGAAAAAGAGCUCUUCACACACAAAAGCAGUGGCUGCCCUGGGUGCCCCAAUUGCUUGAAGUCUUGUUCCCAGAGUGAAUUACUCAACAGGGAGAAAAGACACUACUACUACUGCCAGCAAUUACCAGGAAGAAUGUUGGAAUUUUUUUUACAUUAUACUUCCAUGAAAAAAAUAAUAAUAAUAAUUUUUCACUAGGAAAUGGUACUGGACUCCACCCUGACACCAAAUUACAAAGGAACUCUAGAUAUUUAAUAAUUGGAAAUAUCAAAACUCUAAACUGGUAUCUGACUCUCACACUUUCAGCUGGGAGGCAGGAACAUAGUAAAAGUUGCUUCAUUUUGUAUGUCCAUCAUCCAGAAAAGUUAUAAAUAGGAUUGUGAACAUGGUGGGUUAGAAUAUCUGCUAUUUCACCAAAAAGUUAAAUGAACUUAGACCACGUGGACAAUUUUCAGAUAAUCAUCCUAAGAUAGAGAAUGAGGGACUAUCAUAAAAGAAUUAUUGCUCAGGGAUACUUCUUCAAAGUCCUUAUUCCUUUCUUGAGAAUAUAAGAGAAAACCCACAAAAUAGAAUAUGCAUGAACUAGAAAUAUCCAAACCUACUAAUAAAGGCAAGCCAUGUCAGCAUAGUCUGUGACUGGCAAAGUCUAGAUUGUUUAUUGAAAACCAAGCAGUUUUCAAUAUUAACGUACCAGUAAAUACUAUAAGAUAUUGUCAGAGAAAACUAAGAAAGACUUCUAUUUGGCCUCAUAGGACAAUUUUCCAUUCAAAAUGACACUACCAAGUAACUUUAAGUACACCUUAAAGUACAUCUUCCAUUCACGAAUGUAUGUCUUACAUACAUUUAAUUUUAGUUUCAGAAAUAAUGAGAGCUUCCCAAAGGUGAAUAUCUUGAUGCUUGAGGUCCUCCAUCAUAUUCUUAAGCUCCUGAAAAAGAAGAGGAUGCUCAAUCUCUUCAAACCUGCUCAGCCUUAUUGGUCCUUGUUGCCUGGAGACAUCAAAGUUAACCAUGGAGCUAAAUACCUUGAAUUUUGACUUUCUAUUUUAGAAAGUAGAACAUCAGUGAGUGAGCUGUAUUUUAAUUAUUUUAUUUAGAUGUAUACUUAGGGCUUCCAUAAAUAUGUUUCUGGGGCCUAUAAGAGGAACAUUUUGUAUUCUGCUACUUCCCACCAAGGUAGAACUUGGCGAAACACUCUGAGUUUCAGCAUUCCUGUUGGGUCCUCAGCAGGGAUUUGAAUAGCACUCUACUGAAUUUGCCACAGACAUACCUUUAACAGCACCCAAAAU